UAUCUCGGAGGGUAAUGUUUCCAUGGGUUCCUUCUUACUACGAGGGUAGAUAAGUAAGUCAUUACAAGGAAAAUGACGAGCUGAUCUAAGUAAGAAUGGCGUACCCUACUCAUUAAGCUCAUGAAUAUUACGGGCGUAUUGGUCCUAUCCGAGGGAUAUCACUACGGACUCAAAGUGUCCGCAUCGAGUUCGGAGGGUAGUCUUCAGGACAUCCUUCCCUAACACUCGAACUGGUGAUAUUCGGAUAUCAGGUCCAUUUCUGAAAGUAAUUCUUUCCUUGCAUUUGCUCAAUCGAUUCAUCUAUGCGAGAUAGAGGCAACGAUUUCUAAUGGAAAACCUUGACGGAGUCCUCGAUAGCUAAGGUAUAUACGAUGCAAUCCGUCGACCUCUGGAAGAAUAAGACCGGAGUCCCAUGCUCAACUAGGAUAGGUUCAUAGACAAUUAUCUAAGGCUAAUGAAGGCCUUAGGCACACUUUGGUACCCUUCUUUGGUGUUCACGGCCCAAGGACCAAAACCAUUAGAGAUUACGGCCGUAAUCUCUCUUUGGGAUGGGUUUUUGAUGAUUUAAAGUCCCUAAAUUAACUAGGAGUAAAUCAAGGCUAUUGUCCAAGGCUUUAGGAGUGAUUAAGGCACCUUUCGGCCCAUGAGUUUAGAGUUCACGGUCCAAAAACUUCAUGGGCCGUGAAAACCUUACUCUUGGUGUUUCUGGGUGUUUUCUAGUCCUAUAUACAAUAAGAUACGAGUCUCAGGUAGUUUCAUAUCAAGAGGAAAGGAGUAAGCACUCAUUUGUCCCUUAUAAAAGGGUUUACGGUCCAAAAUGUUCUUCGGCGGUAAACUCUUAAAUCUUGUUCUUUUGACAUGAAUUCUAGGUUAUUAAGCACUUAAUAAGCUAUAUAAUACAACUAGAUAGGUGUACUCACAUUUUGGGAUGAAAGUCCGAAGAUCUGUGAGAGAGAAUCUGCUUUUCUCUAGUUGGAAAUGGAACUAAUGAAUAAAUAUGGCUCAGAAUCCUAUAUAUACUCCUGGGAUUUUUGGCAGAAAAUAUUUUAUUCAAGAAAUGAACUCUAAUAUCAUAGAGUUUUGAAAUAACAGAGUUGUACAUAACCCUAGUGCAUCAUCUCUCCUAAUAUCUCUUUAAGUGUAAAUCCGGAAAUACUCAAACUUAUACUAAAAAGUCUGAAAAUUUACUGCAACUGAUCUGACUUCUAUUGAAGUGAUAUUGUUUGUAUAGAAUAGAAUUUCGGGUUGUCACAUCAUCCCCCUGUUAGAGGGAAUUUCGUCCCGAAAUUAGAAUUUAGGUAAGGAAGUAGGUAGGAAUGAUCGAGUCAUGAGGUGUGAACUUCCUAAUCGAUUGGUUCUCGCGCUCCUAAGUGAAAUUGCAUCCUCGAUUGGUAUCCUAACGAACCUUCACUAACGGGUGAUGGCGUUGCUUCGUCCGCUUGACCUUUCGGUCGAGGGUCACUACGGUUCUUUCACGAAGGCGAGGAUCUAGUUAAUAUCGAUCUCGUCGAGUGGGAUUACGAGAGUCCUGACGGAAAGGUACGGUUUCAAGAUCGAGACGCGAAGGGUAAAAUGUAUGUUAAUACGCUCGCGGAGUAGGUCCAGUCUGCGAGAUACAGGACCGAUUCUGGUAAGAAUCUCGGAGGUCCUAACUAUCUUGGAUUUAGCUUUCCAUGCGAUAUGAAGCGUAUUAAGCCAUUCCCAGAGUGAGUUUUCCUAAAGAACUUGGUCUCUCACUUGGAAUUUACAAGGUUUCUUUUUCUUGCUUAACUUCCCAGUCUAAGGCCACCCCCUGCUGGGUCAAAGUCGUAAGGGUUUCUAUACUUUGCGAGGAGUCCUGAAUGGACUACGAUAGUAGGUCUACAAGACCUAGAAUUUGGCGAAUUUAUGUCGGUGUCUACGGUGUCGACAAUUCUCAACGGUUUUGAUAAAUUGAAAGAGUACUCCAUAAUUCCCACAUCACUAAUAGUGUGUCUUAGAAAUCUGACUCUUCAAUUCCAAAACCCGUGUUUAGAGAACUUUGCGAAAAGUAUCUCCGAGGGUAAUGUUUCCAUGGGUUCCUUCUUACUACGAGGGUAGAUAAGUAAGUCAUUACAAGGAAAAUGACGAGCUGAUCUAAGUAAGAAUGGCGUACCCUACUCAUUAAGCUCAUGAAUAUUACGGGCGUAUUGGUCCUAUCCGAGGGAUAUCACUACGGACUCAAAGUGUCCGCAUCGAGUUCGGAGGGUAGUCUUCAGGACAUCCUUCCCUAACACUCGAACUGGUGAUAUUCGGAUAUCAGGUCCAUUUCUGAAAGUAAUUCUUUCCUUGCAUUUGCUCAAUCGAUUCAUCUAUGCGAGAUAGAGGCAACGAUUUCUAAUGGAAAACCUUGACGGAGUCCUCGAUAGCUAAGGUAUAUACGAUGCAAUCCGUCGACCUCUGGAAGAAUAAGACCGGAGUCCCAUGCUCAACUAGGAUAGGUUCAUAGACAAUUAUCUAAGGCUAAUGAAGGCCUUAGGCACACUUUGGUACCCUUCUUUGGUGUUCACGGCCCAAGGACCAAAACCAUUAGAGAUUACGGCCGUAAUCUCUCUUUGGGAUGGGUUUUUGAUGAUUUAAAGUCCCUAAAUUAACUAGGAGUAAAUCAAGGCUAUUGUCCAAGGCUUUAGGAGUGAUUAAGGCACCUUUCGGCCCAUGAGUUUAGAGUUCACGGUCCAAAAACUUCAUGGGCCGUGAAAACCUUACUCUUGGUGUUUCUGGGUGUUUUCUAGUCCUAUAUACAAUAAGAUACGAGUCUCAGGUAGUUUCAUAUCAAGAGGAAAGGAGUAAGCACUCAUUUGUCCCUUAUAAAAGGGUUUACGGUCCAAAAUGUUCUUCGGCGGUAAACUCUUAAAUCUUGUUCUUUUGACAUGAAUUCUAGGUUAUUAAGCACUUAAUAAGCUAUAUAAUACAACUAGAUAGGUGUACUCACAUUUUGGGAUGAAAGUCCGAAGAUCUGUGAGAGAGAAUCUGCUUUUCUCUAGUUGGAAAUGGAACUAAUGAAUAAAUAUGGCUCAGAAUCCUAUAUAUACUCCUGGGAUUUUUGGCAGAAAAUAUUUUAUUCAAGAAAUGAACUCUAAUAUCAUAGAGUUUUGAAAUAACAGAGUUGUACAUAACCCUAGUGCAUCAUCUCUCCUAAUAUCUCUUUAAGUGUAAAUCCGGAAAUACUCAAACUUAUACUAAAAAGUCUGAAAAUUUACUGCAACUGAUCUGACUUCUAUUGAAGUGAUAUUGUUUGUAUAGAAUAGAAUUUCGGGUUGUCACAUCAUCCCCCUGUUAGAGGGAAUUUCGUCCCGAAAUUAGAAUUUAGGUAAGGAAGUAGGUAGGAAUGAUCGAGUCAUGAGGUGUGAACUUCCUAAUCGAUUGGUUCUCGCGCUCCUAAGUGAAAUUGCAUCCUCGAUUGGUAUCCUAACGAACCUUCACUAACGGGUGAUGGCGUUGCUUCGUCCGCUUGACCUUUCGGUCGAGGGUCACUACGGUUCUUUCACGAAGGCGAGGAUCUAGUUAAUAUCGAUCUCGUCGAGUGGGAUUACGAGAGUCCUGACGGAAAGGUACGGUUUCAAGAUCGAGACGCGAAGGGUAAAAUGUAUGUUAAUACGCUCGCGGAGUAGGUCCAGUCUGCGAGAUACAGGACCGAUUCUGGUAAGAAUCUCGGAGGUCCUAACUAUCUUGGAUUUAGCUUUCCAUGCGAUAUGAAGCGUAUUAAGCCAUUCCCAGAGUGAGUUUUCCUAAAGAACUUGGUCUCUCACUUGGAAUUUACAAGGUUUCUUUUUCUUGCUUAACUUCCCAGUCUAAGGCCACCCCCUGCUGGGUCAAAGUCGUAAGGGUUUCUAUACUUUGCGAGGAGUCCUGAAUGGACUACGAUAGUAGGUCUACAAGACCUAGAAUUUGGCGAAUUUAUGUCGGUGUCUACGGUGUCGACAAUUCUCAACGGUUUUGAUAAAUUGAAAGAGUACUCCAUAAUUCCCACAUCACUAAUAGUGUGUCUUAGAAAUCUGACUCUUCAAUUCCAAAACCCGUGUUUAGAGAACUUUGCGAAAAGUAUCUCCGAGGGUAAUGUUUCCAUGGGUUCCUUCUUACUACGAGGGUAGAUAAGUAAGUCAUUACAAGGAAAAUGACGAGCUGAUCUAAGUAAGAAUGGCGUACCCUACUCAUUAAGCUCAUGAAUAUUACGGGCGUAUUGGUCCUAUCCGAGGGAUAUCACUACGGACUCAAAGUGUCCGCAUCGAGUUCGGAGGGUAGUCUUCAGGACAUCCUUCCCUAACACUCGAACUGGUGAUAUUCGGAUAUCAGGUCCAUUUCUGAAAGUAAUUCUUUCCUUGCAUUUGCUCAAUCGAUUCAUCUAUGCGAGAUAGAGGCAACGAUUUCUAAUGGAAAACCUUGACGGAGUCCUCGAUAGCUAAGGUAUAUACGAUGCAAUCCGUCGACCUCUGGAAGAAUAAGACCGGAGUCCCAUGCUCAACUAGGAUAGGUUCAUAGACAAUUAUCUAAGGCUAAUGAAGGCCUUAGGCACACUUUGGUACCCUUCUUUGGUGUUCACGGCCCAAGGACCAAAACCAUUAGAGAUUACGGCCGUAAUCUCUCUUUGGGAUGGGUUUUUGAUGAUUUAAAGUCCCUAAAUUAACUAGGAGUAAAUCAAGGCUAUUGUCCAAGGCUUUAGGAGUGAUUAAGGCACCUUUCGGCCCAUGAGUUUAGAGUUCACGGUCCAAAAACUUCAUGGGCCGUGAAAACCUUACUCUUGGUGUUUCUGGGUGUUUUCUAGUCCUAUAUACAAUAAGAUACGAGUCUCAGGUAGUUUCAUAUCAAGAGGAAAGGAGUAAGCACUCAUUUGUCCCUUAUAAAAGGGUUUACGGUCCAAAAUGUUCUUCGGCGGUAAACUCUUAAAUCUUGUUCUUUUGACAUGAAUUCUAGGUUAUUAAGCACUUAAUAAGCUAUAUAAUACAACUAGAUAGGUGUACUCACAUUUUGGGAUGAAAGUCCGAAGAUCUGUGAGAGAGAAUCUGCUUUUCUCUAGUUGGAAAUGGAACUAAUGAAUAAAUAUGGCUCAGAAUCCUAUAUAUACUCCUGGGAUUUUUGGCAGAAAAUAUUUUAUUCAAGAAAUGAACUCUAAUAUCAUAGAGUUUUGAAAUAACAGAGUUGUACAUAACCCUAGUGCAUCAUCUCUCCUAAUAUCUCUUUAAGUGUAAAUCCGGAAAUACUCAAACUUAUACUAAAAAGUCUGAAAAUUUACUGCAACUGAUCUGACUUCUAUUGAAGUGAUAUUGUUUGUAUAGAAUAGAAUUUCGGGUUGUCACAUCAUCCCCCUGUUAGAGGGAAUUUCGUCCCGAAAUUAGAAUUUAGGUAAGGAAGUAGGUAGGAAUGAUCGAGUCAUGAGGUGUGAACUUCCUAAUCGAUUGGUUCUCGCGCUCCUAAGUGAAAUUGCAUCCUCGAUUGGUAUCCUAAC
rnacentral:lncRNA from 1 species